UAAGUCAGCCACGAAUAGGCUAUCCCAACUAACGGCGGGAAAGACUCCACGGAGGGUGUAAGACCCGUGUGGGCGCGUGUUAAAGCUGUGCGGGCUCGGCCUCUCUUCCCUGAGAGUCGCGUUGCUUGAGCAUGCAGCGCUAAGCAGGUCGUAAACUCGAUCUAAGGCUAAAUAUGUCCACAGAACCGAUAGCGAACAAGUACCGUGAGGGAAAGUUGAAAAGCACUCUGGAGAGAGAGUCAAAAGACCGUGAAACCGCUCAGAGUAUAAGCCCAUGGCUGCUUGGAAGGCAUAUCGCUAGCGGGGCAUCGGUCUCCCUUCGCGGGGAGCUGGUGUUACCUUGCUUCUGUUGUGGCUCGUCAUGGUAGGGGGGUCAAGUCCACAUCCCGCCGUCGUGUGGGGGGUUCUCGGGUGUGUUGUGGUUUCUUUGUUGGCUUCGGCUGGCAGAGGGGCCCUUCGUGCUCGGUUCCUCUUUGGACACGGACGUUCAGACUCAGUUGCAAGACGCGAUAAACAGCCCACCACGGCACGUUGUGAGGUCACCCACAGGCUCGACUUUCGAUCGUGAGCCUUGACGCCGAGCAAGCACAAUGCGUGUCGCUGAGGUUCCUAACCAGGCAAUGGCGCCAGGAUCGUGGAACGACACGUGCUCAACAGUCAGGUUCGGGCGGAGACAGAGUUCUGGUAUGAUCCUCUUGCGACGAGCCGGCUUCUGGCCGAUAUCCGAUGCUCAGGUCUCCCGCAUGUGCCGCGGGAAAUCGCCUUGCCGGUCUGGA
rnacentral:rRNA from 1 species